rnacentral:rRNA from 1 species
GCCCAGACUCCUACGGGAGGCAGCAGUGGGGAAUAUUGCACAAUGGGGGGAACCUUGAUGCAGCAACGCCGCGUGGGUGAAGAAGUACUCCGGUAUGUAAAGCCCUGUCAGCAGGGAAGAAAAUGACGGUACCUGAGUAAGAAGCCCCGGCUAACUACGUGCCAGCAGCCGCGGUAAUACGUAGGGGGCAAGCGUUAUCCGGAUUUACUGGGUGUAAAGGGAGCGUAGACGGCAGUGCAAGUCUGGAGUGAAAGGCGGGGGCUCAACCCCCGGACUGCUCUGGAAACUGUAAAGCUGGAGUGCGGGAGGGGCAGGCGGAAUUCCUGGUGUAGCGGUGAAAUGCAUAGAUAUUACACAGAACACCGAUUGCGAAGGCAGCUUGCUAGGCCGGAUCUGACACUGAUGCACGAAAGCGUGGGGAUCGAACAGGAUUAGAUACCCCGGUA